CCUACGGGCGGCUGCAGUAAGGAAUAUUGGUCAAUGGACGAAAGUCUGAACCAGCCAUCCCGCGUGCAGGAUGAAAGCCCUAUGGGUUGUAAACUGCUUUUAGCAGAGAAGAAAAGCUUUCAUUAAUGAGAGUCUGACGGUAUCUGCAGAAUAAGCACCGGCUAACUCCGUGCCAGCAGCCGCGGUAAUACGGAGGGUGCGAGCGUUAUCCGGAUUUACUGGGUUGUAAGGGUAGUUAGGCGGAGUAUUAGAAAUCUGGUCGCUUAACGAUACAAUGGCCAAUGAUACUGGUACUCUUGGAUUGGGUUGAGGUUAGCGGAAUGUGACAUGUAGCGGUGAAAUGCAUAGAUAUGUCAUGGAACACCAAUUGCGAAGGCAGCUAACUGGGCCUUGAUUGACGCUGAGGCACGAAAGCGUGGGUAGCGAACAGGAUUAGAUACCCCAGUAGUC
rnacentral:rRNA from 1 species